GAUGAACGCUGGCGGCGUGCCUAAUACAUGCAAGUCGAGCGAACAGAUCAGGAGCUUGCUCCUUUGACGUUAGCGGCGGACGGGUGAGUAACACGUCGGUAACCUACCUAUAAGACUGGGUAAGUUCUGGCAAACGGGGCCUAUGCCGGAAAACAUUUUGGAACGCCUGGUUCCAAACGGUAAAUUGGUUUUUUUUUCACUUAAUGGUGGACCCGCCCCGUAAUAGCUAGUUGGUAAGGUAACGGCUUACCAAAGCCACGAUACGUAACCGACCCCAGAGGGUGAUCCGACACAUGGGAAGUGAGACACGGUCCAGACUCCGACGGGGGGCAGCAGUAGGGAAUCUUACGCGAUGGGCGAAAGCCUGACGGAACAACGCCGGGUGAGUGAUGAAGGGGUUCGGCUCGUAGAACUAUGUUGUUAGGGAAGAACAAAUGUGUAAGUAACUGUGAACAUCAUGACGGUACCUAAUGAGAAAGCCACGGCUAACUACGUG
rnacentral:rRNA from 1 species